rnacentral:lncRNA from 1 species
CUGGGGAGAUGGUUCUGUGAGUCUCUUUUGGAGUGGCUUGGGACAUUGGCUGCCGGCUGAGCUGCACAGGAGAGGGCGCACUUGGGAAUGUAGUGUCUCAUGGCCCACUCGAGAGUCUAGAGCUGUCACACCAGGGCUUCCAGGCACCCCAGGAAUCGGCAAGAGGCACAUUCAGCAUUCCCCACCUGGUUUCGUUGCUCAUCUCUUCAGGUUGAGAAGUGGCCUUGGAACAAGGAUGGUCACAGGGAGUCAAGGAAACAAUAAAGCAGAUAUCCUCUCAGAGAGGUUACAAGAAAUGCCCAGGAUGCAGAUGAUGAAUGGGCAGUACGGCAGGCAGUGAGAAAUGAUGACCAGAGCUCACGUCCUGACUUACGCUAGGCCAGCCACACUUGCCAACCUAUCCCAUCCAUCAAGACAGGGGAACACAAGGAAAGAGGAGGACAUAAUAUAAUGCACACUUGGAUGUAAUCCGUGCAACUCUGACUGUGAUUUAAGGAGAAGAGGAAAAGCAAGAAAAACGCUUCAGCUGGAGCAGGCUGCGAAGCAUAUUUAGAGAACCAUUUCCAUUUUAGUAGCGUGUGUCUUUCCCAUAUCAAAUGACGCGUCUGGCAAACACUAAAGCGCAACACCUUUUGGGGCUCUAAGUGUCUCAACAAUAGAUGAAGUCAUCUUAAAGGGACCACAAAGCCACUUAGCAUCUGGCACUUUGUCUCCACCCUGGUGGGGACAAGAGAGAAGAGUGCUUGAGUGGCAGAGCACGCGUGGCUCCUGUCUGGAUGACGCACAGGGAGCCCUGUUCACCAUGUGACCUUCUCAUUGAGCCUGUGAGGAGAUGACUUCCCAAGUGGGGUGUAGUGCAAAGGUAUUAUCCUUCAUCAUUACACAGACGGUUUCCACAGAAAUCACAGCAGCAUGCAAAACAAAGAAUAAAA